rnacentral:rRNA from 1 species
AGAGUUGAUCCUGGCUUAGGAUGAACGCUAGCGGCAGGCUUAACACAUGCAAGUCGAGGGGCAGCGGGAUGUAGCAAUACAUUGCCGGCGACCGGCGGAUGGGUGCGUAACGCGUAUGCAACUACCUAUACAGGGGAAUAACCUUUCGAAAGGGAGACUAACACCCCAUAGUAUUGAUUUAAGGCAUCUUAGAUUAAUUAAAUAUUUAUAGGUAUAAGAUGGGCAUGCGUAUGAUUAGCUAGUUGGUAAGGUAACGGCUUACCAAGGCGACGAUCAUUAGGGGUUCUGAGAGGAAGGUCCCCCACACUGGUACUGAGACACGGACCAGACUCCUACGGGAGGCAGCAGUGAGGAAUAUUGGUCAAUGGGCGCAAGCCUGAACCAGCCAUGCCGCGUGCAAGGAAGACGGCCUUAUGGGUUGUAAACUGCUUUUACAUAAGACUAACCGUAUAUUUGCGAAUAUACCUGAAUGUAUUAUGAGAAUAAGGAUCGGCUAACUCCGUGCCAGCCGCGGC